rnacentral:rRNA from 1 species
GUGGGGAAUAUUGGACAAUGGGCGAAAGCCUGAUCCAGCCAUGCCGCGUGUGUGAAGAAGGUCUUCGGAUUGUAAAGCACUUUAAGUUGGGAGGAAGGGCAGUAAGUUAAUACCUUGCUGUUUUGACGUUACCAACAGAAUAAGCACCGGCUAACUUCGUGCCAGCAGCCGCGGUAAUACGAAGGGUGCAAGCGUUAAUCGGAAUUACUGGGCGUAAAGCGCGCGUAGGUGGUUUUGUAAGUUGGAGGUGAAAUCCCCGGGCUCAACCUGGGAACUGCCUCCAAAACUGCAUGACUAGAGUACGGUAGAGGGUAGUGGAAUUUCCUGUGUAGCGGUGAAAUGCGUAGAUAUAGGAAGGAACACCAGUGGCGAAGGCGACUACCUGGACUGAUACUGACACUGAGGUGCGAAAGCGUGGGGAGCAAACAGGAUUAGAUACCCGGGUAGUCC